AUUGAACGCUGGCGGCAGGCUUAACACAUGCAAGUCGAGCGGGGGAAGGUAGCUUGCUACCGGACCUAGCGGCGGACGGGUGAGUAAUGCUUAGGAAUCUGCCUAUUAGUGGGGGACAACAUCUCGAAAGGGAUGCUAAUACCGCAUACGUCCUACGGGAGAAAGCAGGGGAUCUUCGGACCUUGCGCUAAUAGAUGAGCCUAAGUCGGAUUAGCUAGUUGGUGGGGUAAAGGCCUACCAAGGCGACGAUCUGUAGCGGGUCUGAGAGGAUGAUCCGCCACACUGGGACUGAGACACGGCCCAGACUCCUACGGGAGGCAGCAGUGGGAAUAUUGGACAAUGGGGGGAAACCUGAUCCAGCCAUGCCGCGUGUGUGAAGAAGGCCUUAUGGUUGUAAGGCACUUUAAGCGAGGAGGAGGCUACUUUAGUUAAUACCUAGAGAUAGUGGACGUUACUCGCAGAAUAAGCACCGGCUAACUCUGUGCCAGCCGCCGCCGUAA
rnacentral:rRNA from 1 species